GACGAACGCUGGCGGCGUGCUUAACACAUGCAAGUCGAACGGAAAGGCCCUGCUGUUGUGGGGUGCUCGAGUGGCGAACGGGUGAGUAACACGUGAGUAACCUGCCGUUGACUUUGGGAUAACUUCAGGAAACUGGGGCUAAUACUGGAUAGGAGCUCCUGAUGCAUGGUGGGGGUUGGAAAGUUUCGGCGGGUGGGGAUGGGCUCGCGGCUGACGAGCCUGUCGGUGGGGUAGUGGCUGACUGAGGCUUUGACGGGUCGCCGGCCUGAGAGGGUGACCGGCCACAUUGUGCCUAAGGUACGGGCCAGAGUGCAACGUGGGGCAGCGGUGGGAAAUAGUACGCAAAGGGCCGGGGCCUGGUACAACGACGCCGCGUGCGGAAUGACGGCCUUCGGGGUGUAAAGCGCUUUAGCCUGUGACGAAGCCUGAGUGACGGUAAUGGGUAAAGAAGCACCGGCUAACUACGUG
rnacentral:rRNA from 1 species